CUGAGCCGCCAUUUUCUAGAACAUUUUGGACACAUUACAUCCAGCGUGCUACGGCUCGCUCAAGGGAAAUCCCCUCUAGCAAAGCUGCACAAAGAAGCUAGAGAAGAAUCUCUCUGUGAAGACCAUCUUGGAAUUGAUUUUAAAGCAGCACUUCUCAUGUUGCCAGCCUUGUUCAGAGAGAAACUUGAACAUUUCAUUGUGCUUGGAGAGAGUGAACCAUCCUCACCAUAUCCUACUGUUCAAGUACAGGAGACCACUGACUGGAAAACUGUGUUUACAAGAAGAGUCACUGCAGUCAUCAAAGUUGAUGGGAUCGAAAUCUGCCAGGCAAACGGUGUGGAUGAAGGGGCUCUUGC